rnacentral:rRNA from 1 species
UCAAGCUACUAAGGGCAUACGGUGGAUGCCUAGGCGCCAAGAGCCGAAGAAGGACGCGGUAAGCUGCGAAAAGCCACGGGGAACUGCAAGCAAGUAUUGAUCCGUGGAUAUCCGAAUGGGGAAACCCGGCCAUCGUCAUGGAUGGUCACCCGCAAGGGAGGGAACCUGGGGAACUGAAACAUCUAAGUACCCGGAGGAAGAGAAAUCAAACGAGAUGCCCACAGUAGCGGCGAGCGAAGAGGGCAGAGCCCAAACCGAGAAGCUCCGGCUUUUCGGGGUUGAGGACCGGCAGAAUCGAAGUCAGGCCUAGUUGAAUUACCUGGAAAGGUAAGCGAGAGAGGGUAAAAGCCCCGUAGACGAAAGGCAGAGCAGAGAGGCCGAGAUCCAGAGUACCACGAAGCACGAGGAAUUUUGUGGGAAGCAGGGGGGACCACCCUCCAAGGCUAAAAACUACUUGGCGACCGAUAGCGCAUAGUACCGUGAGGGAAAGGUGAAAAGAACCCCGGGAGGGGAGUGAAAUAGUACCUGAAACCGUAUGUCUACAAGCAGUCGAAGCGAAAGCGACGGCGUGCCUAUUGAAGAAUGAACCAACGAGUUAUCUGCACUAGCGAGGUUAAGUGGAAGACACGGAGCCGCAGCGAAAGCGAGUCUUAAGAGGGCGCUAGUUAGUGUAGGUAGACCCGAAACCGCAGUGAUCUACCCAUGUCCAGGUUGAAGCGCAGGUAAAAUUGCGUGGAGGACCGAACCGGUGAGCGUUGAAAAGCUUUCGGAUGAGAUGUGGGUAGGGGUGAAAUUCCAAUCGAACGCGGAGAUAGCUGGUUCUCCCCGAAAUAGCUUUAGGGCUAGCCUGAGGUAGUAAGUAUAGGCGGUAGAGCACUGAUCGGGCUAGGGGCCGUAAAGGUUACCGAACCCUGUCAAACUCCGAAUGGAUAUACUGUAGAGCCUUGGAGUCAGACUACGAGUGAUAAGAUCCGUGGUCAAAAGGGAAACAGCCCAGACCACCAGCUAAGGUCCCCAAUGUCGUACUAAGUGGAAAAGGAUGUGGGGUUUCAUAAACAACCAGGAUGUUGGCUCAGAAGCAGCCACCAUUUAAAGAGUGCGUAAUAGCUCACUGGUCGAGAGACCCUGCGCCGAAGAUUCCCGGGGCUAAAGUACGAAACCGAAGCUGUGGCUGUAUACGUAAAGUAUACGGGGUAGGGGAGCGUUCCCAUAGGGUAGAAGUCGAACUGGAAGGUUCGGUGGACUUGUGGGAAGUGAGAAUGUUGGUAUGAGUAGCGAAAAGAAAGGUGAGAAUCCUUUCCACCGAAAGCAUAAGGAUUCCUGAGCAACGAUCGUCGUCUCAGGGUAAGUCGGGACCUAAUCCGAGGCAGAGAGCGUAGGAGAUGGACAACUGGUUGAUAUUCCAGUACCGGUAGUAAUUGUUUGAGCAAUGGAGUGACACAGAAGGGCAGGCAAGCAUGCGAAUGGAAGAGCAUGUGUAAGCGUGUAGGGUGGUGCAUAGGCAAAUCCGUGCACUGAAAGCCUGAGGCGUGAUGCGGAGUGAGCAGAGAUGCGAGCGAAGUUGUUGACCCCACACUGUCGAGAAAAGCUUCUAGUGAGAGAGCUACCGCCCGUACCGUAAACCGACACAGGUAUGCGGGGAGAGAAUCCUAAGGUGCGCGGGAGAACCCUCGUUAAGGAACUCGGCAAAAUGUACCCGUAACUUCGGGAUAAGGGUAGCCACUGUUGUGAAGUCCCAUGCGGAUGGAGCAUAGAGUGGUCGCAGAGAAGAGGCCCAAGCGACUGUUUACCAUAAACACAGGUGCCUGCUAAAGCGAAAGCUGACGUAUAGGUGCUGACACCUGCCCAGUGCCGGAAGGUUAAGGAAGGAUGUUCGGAUUAGUCCAAAGCAUUCGACUGAAGCCCUGGUGAACGGCGGCCGUAACUAUAACGGUCCUAAGGUAGCGAAAUUCCUUGUCGGGUAA